GUGAGAAGCAGCCAGGUGACUGUUUCUGGAGCCAAAGUGUCACCUGUGUGGCUCACAGGAAUGUGAAUCUGGAUAAGUUAUUUCGUCUCCCCUGGGCCCUUGGAGGUGAAGCUUCGGAUGUAUUGCAUAAUCUAUGUUCACUAUUUCUGGGGACACUUGAACAAAUGUCUCCUUCAGGGAGUGGAGUGCGGAUGACUCGAAGGCAGCCAUAGCAACAAAAGCUCACAACACCAAGGGCAACAGUUCUCGAAAGCUGACACCCUGGAACUCUCUGCAUAACUUGCAAGCUACUCGGCGAGUCCAUCUCCUCCCUUAAAACCUGUUCAUGUGUCUCUAACCAUGAGGCCAGACCCUGUGAAUCAAUGAAGCUUCAGCUUCCUGGGCGUGUGAAGUUUGAGUUCUUCCUGAGUUUCUUGGCUUCCUCCAGGAUGGAAUAUUUCAGCUCAGAGUAAAUUGCAAUACAACACUUC